rnacentral:rRNA from 1 species
GACGAAGCGACGCCGCGUGAGCGAAGAAGGCCCUAGGGUUGUAAAGCUCUGUCGGGGGUUAUGAAAUGCAGGUUGGUUAAUACCCAACCUGUUUGACAAAGGCCCCAAAGGAAGCCACGGCUAACUCUGUGCCAGCAGCCGCGGUAAUACAGAGGUGGCAAGCGUUGUUCGGUAUUAUUGGGCGUAAAGAGCACGUAGGUGGUUUUGUAAGUCAGAUGUGAAAGCCUUCUGUUCAA